UACGAAGGGUGCAAACGUUGUUCGGAAUUACUGGGCGUAAAGCGCGUGUAGGCGGCCCUGCAAGUCGGAUGUGAAAUCCCAUGGCUCAACUAUGGAAGUGCAUUCGAAACUGCAGGGCUAGAGUCCUGGAGAGGAAGGUGGAAUGCUUGGUGUAGAGGUGAAAUUCGUAGAUAUCAAGCGGAACACCGGUGGCGAAGGCGGCCUUCUGGACAGUGACUGACGCUGAGACGCGAAAGCGUGGGGAGCAAACAGG
rnacentral:rRNA from 1 species